AGUGAACGCUGGCGGUAGGCCUAACACAUGCAAGUCGAACGGCAGCACAGUAAGAGCUUGCUCUUACGGGUGGCGAGUGGCGGACGGGUGAGGAAUACAUCGGAAUCUACUUUUUCGUGGGGGAUAACGUAGGGAAACUUACGCUAAUACCGCAUACGACCUACGGGGGAAAGCAGGGGAUCUUCGGACCUUGCGCGAUUGAAUGAGCCGAUGUCGGAUUAGCUAGUUGGCGGGGUAAAGGCCCACCAAGGGGACGAUCCGUAGCUGGUCUGAGAGGAUGAUCAGCCACACUGGAACUGAGACACGGUCCAGACUCCUACGGGAGGCAGCAGUGGGGAAUAUUGGACAAUGGGCGCAAGCCUGAUCCAGCCAUACCGCGUGGGUGAAGAAGGCCUUCGGGUUGUAAAGCCCUUUUGUUGGGAAAGAAAAGCAGCAGGUUAAUACCCCGCUGUUCUGACGGUACCCAAAGAAUAAGCACCGGCUAACUUCGUG
rnacentral:rRNA from 1 species